ACAUAUAUAUCCAAUUUUGGCUAUGGAUAGUCGCUUUAAAAGUUUCCACCAAAUUAUUGAAGUAUUUUUACGUGAUAUACGACAUCUUGUUAAAAAAAAAGACAGAGAAAAUAUUCGGUUUUUAUUCGAGGCACGUCGAUUAUAUUGGGUACACUAAUAGUCUCUACGCAUGUUUACUAUAGCGGCUAGGAAAAUUAAGCUGAUUAGCACCAGUUGAAUGUCAAUGUUACAGAAACUUGCAUAGGAGGUUUAUAAAAGGUUUAAAGACUUCACAACAUUUCUCCAGUCACAGCUUACGUAUUUUCGUAUCAAGAAUUGCGCAUGGUUAUACAGCUUUUUGUAACUGUGAUUAAUCAUUGCAUUUCUGGUAAAAGUUAUCUGGAAUCUUGUGCUAUAUCGUUAUUUGACCAUGUAAACAUUUAUAAUAUGCGGCUUAACAGAAGAGCUUGGAACCAAACAGCCUGCAGAUAUCUUAAAAGAUUAGAAUGAUGUCUGAUUUUAUUUGGCACAGUUUAAAAUGCUGUUACCCAUGUUAUGUUGACUUCACCGUGUUAAAGAUCUAUUAUGUAAAUCUGCCUAAUGCAGAUCUUUCGUUUGGCCUUAGAUGUUAUAUAAAUCCUUAAUUAGACAUUUAUUCACAUGUCAAGCCCAAAAUCAACCCUCCAGUUCAUCGGAGGGUUUAGUUUUUCAACGGAUUUAAACACGAUUGUCAGUUAAUGAUUUAAUGAAAAAAUGGAUUAUCGAGACUUUGUUUAUUAAUCAUCGUAACAGCGGUAGCAAUGACAACCGAGACUAAACUGUUCUUCAAACGACCAUAACUCCGCUCAGCAUGAAGUAAUUUGACUAAAAUUUUCAACAUAUUCCCUUUCCAUAAUCUAUUUUUUAACACUAUUAUAGCGAGAACUGACAGUUCUUUAUCUAAAUAUUACAUAAUGCAUCUUUAAGCAACUUAGAACUGGUGAAGUUUUUCUUUGUAUUUACAUAAAGGACAGUCUGAGGCUAUUAUCAAACUUAAAACAUAGCACCAUAGAGAUACAAAUAAUGGAUAGUUUUAUAAAACAACAAGCCAUAAAAAUAUUAAAAAUAAUGGAUAUAUUCUCAAAACAACAUGCACAUGCUCAUGAACGCAUGUGACAAAAAACUCCAGUCAUACAAAGCAAGCAUACACGGACAGUCCAAAAUAUUCUACAUGGAGACAACAUGUUUACAACACCAGUCGAAAACAAAUACAUGUAUUAAUAAUGAGAAUAUAUUAUGUGAUAAGCAUUUAUGUGAUAAGCAUUUGGAUACUGAUUACAUUGGUAAUGUACUCGAUAUGGAAGAUAAUAGCCGUAAAAAUUGUGAUGUUCUUGAUGUGGGGGGUAAUAGCCGCCAAAGUUGUGAUGGAAAGGCUGCUCACGAGAAUAAUUUAGAUAUUGAUAAUUUUCUUAAUACUGUGGUUAAUAUGGAGGGUACUAGCCGUCCCAAUUUCGAUUUAAAAUUUAAUAUAUACUCUGAUAUAAGUGACAUUACACAGGAUCAAAGGCACAAACCAAUUCACGAAAUUCAAACUCAACUGUCAUUAUGGUGUAAUGGUGAUAUAUUUGAACGUUUUUUAUAAUCGGAUAAAAAUUGUGACCUGCAUAGGUUCCACAGGCUCAAAACACGUUUUUUUUUUGUUCAACCCGGGCCCAUAAUCCAGGAAGUUACGGUACGAUGCACCAAUAUCGCAAGGAAUCGAUAUCUUUGGAUUAUAAACACACAUGUUCAGUUUCACCAAAAUGGGCUAAUAAUUGUGACCUCUAGUGUGUACAGUCAGGGGCCGUAAUCCACGGUCCCAUACAAGCCAAUAUCGAAAGGAACCGAGAUCUUUGGGAUAUAUACCUAUAUUUCAAGUUAUGACCUGUAGAGUGUCCACAAAGAAGAUGUGAAAAUGUGGGCGUAUAAAAACGUAUCAUCGAUCUAGUGCCGAACGUAUUACACGGAUAAGUGACAUAUAACGGACGGAUUUAAGUGGAAUUCUUUAUGUAGACAAACACGUGAAAUCAACAUUCGGUCAUGUGACAUUUCGGUAACUAU